GAUUUACCUGCACUGAGUUUCUGCUAUGUGACAGACACACUGCUGAAUGACAGUUUUAGCUUAUAAAUACUAUGACUGCAUUUGACCUCUAACAAACUUUCCCUCCAAUUUAUAUUAG
rfam:Atelerix albiventris clone LB4-464N6, complete sequence.